rnacentral:misc_RNA from 1 species
UGUGAAUACCAGUCAUAAUUC